rnacentral:rRNA from 1 species
AAGUCGUAACAAGGUUCCCUUCCGCUCGUACAGCUCCGGAGACCUUGCAACCCUUAUUAUCAGAGGAGGCAGCACGACAAUAAACAAAGCUCGCCGCUUGCAAGUCGGCCACUGGUCGGCAACACAAUCGAAUUGACGGGGACCUCCUAAAGCCUGCAACACCAACCGUCCGGGGAAACCCGGGCGGGGCCCUCACGGGGUGGUAAGAGAGUGCAGGAUGAUACAAUGGACAAUCCGCAGCGAAGACCCUACCGGCGCGAGCCCAAGGGUACCGUUCACAGACUAAGUGAUUGUGGGCGGGGCAUGAGAGCCCUGUCUAAGAUAUAGUCGGUCCCUACCCGAAAGGAUAGGGAGAGUACGUCCGUAGGUGAACCUGCGGAAGGAUCAUUAAAGAAUCGCCCCGUUUUUUGAAAUGGGUUCUAUUCCCAAACCGUGUAUACAUACCUUUGUUGCUUUGGCGGGCCGCCUUCGGGCGUUGGCUUCCAGCUGACUGCGCCCGCCAGAGGACCCAAACUCGUUUGUUUAGUGAUGUCUGAGUACUAUAUAAUAGUUAAAACUUUCAACAACGGAUCUCUUGGUUCUGGCAUCGAUGAAGAACGCAGCGAAAUGCGAUAAGUAAUGUGAAUUGCAGAAUUCAGUGAAUCAUCGAAUCUUUGAACGCACAUUGCGCCCCUUGGUAUUCCGAGGGGCAUGCCUGUUCGAGCGUCAUUAUAACCAUUCAAGCCUUGGCUUGGUAUUGGGGUUUCGCGGUUCUGCGGCCCUUAAAAUCAGUGGCGGUGCCGUCUGGCUCUAAGCGUAGUAAUUCUCUCGCUAUAGGGUCCCGGCGGUGGCUUGCCAAAACCCCUUUAUUUUCCUACGGUUGACCUCGGAUCAGGUAGGGAUACCCGCUGAACUUAA